rnacentral:rRNA from 1 species
UACGAAGGGUGCAAGCGUUACUCGGAAUUACUGGGCGUAAAGGGUGCGUAGGUGGUUGUUUAAGUCUGCUGUGAAAGCCCCGGGCUCAACCUGGGAAUGGCAUUUGUGACUGGAAGGCUAGAGUGUGUCAGAGGGGGGUAGAAUUCCACGUGUAGCAGUGAAAUGCGUAGAGAUGUGGAGGAAUACCGAUGGCGAAGGCAGCCCCCUGGGAUAACACUGACGCUCAUGCACGAAAGCGUGGGGAGCAAACAGG